GGGGCUGUCACGGUUUCGACGUGCUGGGAACAGGUACUGAGUGAUGCAGGCCGAGAGCGGGCUAACUCUCGUAAAUCAAUGGCUCAAAAAAGUAGAUGCGAACAACAUCGUUCCUUUCGCUCGCAAGACUGUGGCUGUUGCCUAAGUUUUGUAACACCUCUAACUAGACGGUUGAGCACUCGCUGUCCGACUCCGUUAAGGUCACCGAGUUUAACCCCAACGGAUGCGCUGUCCGGUCUUCUUCGGUUGGCCUGCUAGCAAAGACUUUAAUCGAGGCAUCCUACCGCUAGGGAUUAAGUAGUGGUCCCUGUCUCAAGGGUCAACGAGACUAAGCCUGUGAAUGAACAAGGUAUAACUACUUGGUGCGGACGAUGGGUUCGACUCCCUCCAGCUCCACUC
rfam:Limnothrix sp. P13C2 contig_31, whole genome shotgun sequence.